UGAGUUCACAACUUAAAAGCAUGCGUCCCGGUGGUUUGGGACACGAGACUAACAACCCUAUCCCCUGUCCCUACUACAAAUACCGAUUAGUCGCCGGGUUAGGCGAGCGGGUUAUUAGUUGAUAGCGCUAUUUAGGUGUUUACCAGCCUCACACUGUGCCCUGGUUUGGGACGGGCGUGAACUAAUGUACUCAGAAAUCCGUCAAUGAUGAUAGAACAUUGACAUCGGGGCAUCCUGCGGAUACGCAACGGUUACCUAGUGUUCGGUAUUGGAAAAACAGUUUAGUCGCUAACUUUUGGGGUAGCUCCCCAGGGCAUGUAUAAACGGAUAAAUUAACCGGUGAAACAAAGUUUUUGGUAAUUAAAACUGGACAACUAGUAACCAGUGACGAAGGAGCUUGCAGCUUGGGAACGUGUAGUGUCUGUUCACCCUUGUUUUGGGUGUUACCAUAUUUUGAAACAUGAACUUUGUUUUAACCUACCGUACUUAUGCUUCCGCUACUUAAUACUGUUUUGGAACUUAAAACUUUAAAACUCUGAACUUAAUAUUUGCUAAGCUUAUGAAUAGUAAGUAU
rnacentral:lncRNA from 1 species